CCUACGGGAGGCAGCAGUAAGGAAUAUUGGUCAAUGGACGCAAGUCUGAACCAGCCAUGCCGCGUGAAGGAUUAAGGCCCUCUGGGUUGUAAAACUUCUUUUAUAGGGACGAAAAAAGGGCAUUCUUGCUCACUUGACGGUACCCUAGGAAUAAGCACCGGCUAACUCCGUGCCAGCAGCCGCGGUAAUACGGAGGGUGCAAGUGUUAUCCGGAUUUACUGGGUUUAAAGGGUGCGUAGGUGGGUUGGUAAGUCAGUGGUGAAAUCUUCGAGCUUAACUCGGAAACUGCCAUUGAUACUAUCAAUCUUGAAUCAUCUAGAGGUAAGCGGAAUAUGUCAUGUAGCGGUGAAAUGCUUAGAUAUGACAUAGAACACCAAUUGCGAAGGCAGCUUACUAUGGAUGCAUUGACACUGAGGCACGAAAGCGUGGGGAUCAAACAGGAUUAGAUACCCUGGUAGUCCACGCCCUAAACGAUGGAUACUCGACAUUUGUGUAUAUACUAAUAAGUAGUCUGAGACGAAGACAUUAAGUUAAUACCCUACCCGUACGGAACGGUAACGACCGACCGAACGGUUAGUAAACGUAACGAAAGUAAAGUUAAGUACGGACGUCGAGACGUACGACCGACGGACGACCGACCGGACGGGAGGGAGGGAGG
rnacentral:rRNA from 1 species